AGCGAACGCUGGCGGCAGGCUUAACACAUGCAAGUCGAACGCCCCGCAUGGGGAGUGGCAGACGGGUGAGUAACACGUGGGAACGUACCCUUUGGUUCGGAGUAGCUCCUGGAAACGGGUGGUAAUGCCGAAUGUGCCCUUAGGGGGAAAGAUUUAUCGCCUUUAGAGCGGCCCGCGUCUGAUUAGCUAGUUGGUGAGGUAAUGGCUCACCAAGGCUACGAUCAGUAGCUGGUCUGAGAGGAUGACCAGCCACAUUGGGACUGAGACACGGCCCAAACUCCUACGGGAGGCAGCAGUGGGGAAUCUUGCGCAAUGGGCGAAAGCCUGACGCAGCCAUGCCGCGUGGAUGAUGAAGGUCUUAGGAUUGUAAAAUCCUUUCACCGGUGAAGAUAAUGACUGUAGCCGGAGAAGAAGCCCCGGCUAACUUCGUGCCAGCAGCCGCCGUAA
rnacentral:rRNA from 1 species